rnacentral:rRNA from 1 species
AGAGUUUGAUCAUGGCUCAGAACGAACGUUGGCGGCGUGGAUUAGGCAUGCAAGUCGAACGGGAAAGUGCCUUCGGGCAUGAGUAGAGUGGCGAACGGGUGAGUAACGCGUGGGAAACCUGCCUUCGAGCGGGGGAUAACACCUCUAACGGGGUGCUAAUACCGCAUAACACCAUCGGGUCGCAUGGCACGAUGGUCAAAGCUGGCCUCUGUUUCAAGCUAGCACUCGAAGAUGGUCCCGCGUCUGAUUAGCUUGUUGGUGGGGUAACGGCCUACCAAGGCGACGAUCGGUAGCUGGUCUGAGAGGAUGGUCAGCCACACUGGGACUGAGAUACGGCCCAGACUCCUACGGGAGGCAGCAGUCGAGAGGCUUCGGCAAUGGGGGCAACCCUGACCGAGCGACGCCGCGUGAGGGAUGACGCCCUUCGGGGUGUAAACCUCUUUUCUGGGGGAAGAAAAACACCGGGACGAAUACGCCCGGUGCCUGACGGUACCCCAGAAUAG